rnacentral:rRNA from 1 species
AUGCUGGUCACCAGUUGGAUUACAUUGAGAGCAGAAAUUUUGUUCCAGUUACUUCGGGGAGAAAAGUUAACACUGUGGUUACGAUGCUCUGACCGGCAAAAGGUUACGUCUAGGAGAAUUUACGGCCACGGCAACAGGGCAAUGCAUACCCAGCUUGCCGAAGCUAAUAUGCGACAUGCGGGCGAGCUUGAAUCAAGCUCAAAAGCUCCCAAUCACAGCUAUAGCACAAAAACAGCUAAGAAAACCUACUUGCUGAGAACCAAAGCAAUCGCGAGCAUACAGUCACCCACACUCUCCAACAGAUUGCUGAAGAAAAUCAAGCUACGUAGAAAAGCACAGGAGCAAUCGGCAGCUCAGAUUCCCCAGGCCCCAAUCCAGGUUGGUCCCGGCAUCCGACCAGCGGCACGAAAAGCGCCACCGCCAAAAUCGAAUCUACUGAAAUUCCAAAGCCACCGCACCACACAGCGAGCCCACGGACGACGGCAAGACCAAAUGGCGGGGAUCCAGAAGCAAGCGAGCCCCGCCCAGCCCCGCGCCCGCACGGCGGCGGCCACUCGCCGCCCUGCCCACGGGAAGGGAAGAGGGUUCUAG